CGGGGAGCCGGGCUCGGUUCGGUUCGGUUCGGCCGGGAGCGCCCCGGGCUCGGGGUCCCGGCUGGGAACGCUCCGGGCUCGGGGUCCCGGCUGGGAAAGCCCCGGGUUCGGUUCGGCUGGGAACGCUCCGGGCUCGGGGUCCCGGCUGGGACCCCACACCCCCGUGCCGGCCACACCACGGCCAGUCUUUCUUUAGACGCUUCCAGGUACGGCGACUCUGCCGCCUCGCUGGGCAGUGUUAAAAACGGGUUAGAAAGUGUUGUAAAAUAGUUGAUAAUCGUUAAGCGUGUACUGUAGUGUGGUUAUUUUAAAGCGUGUUCAGAGGGUAGUUAUAAGGUACUCAACGUACCGUGUUACACCUGAGUAAAGUGCACCAGCCCCAGCGAAAGGACACCUGGACAGAGCUGUAAUGGCCAAUCGAGCGCCUUAAACCCUGCAAAUGAAGGAUCCAAAAAGAAACCAAUCCAAAAGAAAAAAAAAAACAGGAUAAAAAGGGGCUUCUGACCCACUGGUUUUGUGCCGCUCCACCUGGAACAUCGGGGGCAUUGAAGCAGCCCCAGCGCCGGCGCCGCAGCAUCCUCAAUGGGAGCGCUCCUGCUCGGGCCCCACGCUUUGGGCCUUUCUUUUUAUUACAAUAAAUGCUGAAGUCGCUUUAAUACAGGGAGCCUGGUCCCCUUUUAACAGGCAGCACGGCCUGAUGUCUGAAUCAGUUUUUCUGUGGAGAAAUUGCUCCCAAUAUCCAAUCUAAACCUCCCCUGGCGCAGCUUAAGACUCUGAUUGCAUCAACACCAAAAGUGCCAGGACAGCCAAGUCCUGCUGGCCUUUACCUGCCCUGGGCAGCCUGGUAUCUGCCCCUGAAACACUGGGGCCAGCUGUUUUCUUUCCUAUGGAAAAGCAUCACCAUUCCCUUUCAGGGAUCCACCACUGAAAUUUGGAUAGAACCUCCAAGGAUUAGUAUGUGCAAGGAUUGAUCCCACUGAAAAGCUGUCGGGACAGAAAGGUGUUUCCUGAGCCCCUGGACAGCCUUGUCUGACCCAUUGACACUGAAACCAUGAGCAUUCCUUCCCAAGGAAAGGUACUGUCACUCUCUUCCAGCAGCCCAACUCCAAAAUGUGAAGCUGAUCUUCCACAUUGAAUAUGUCUGGGGAUUUCUCACAGAAAAAUGGUGCAAGGGCAGAAAGGAUUGCCUUUUCAGCCCUCCAUCACCCUAACACCUGCACAAACAAUGCUGGGCAGAGCUGCUUUCCUUCACAAAGUAAGGCCCUGUUGCCCUCUUUUUGCAGCCCAUCUGCAAAGUUUGGAUUCCAGUUUCAGAAAUUAAGAGGUUUAAAGACUGCUCCUACUCAACAGGUGCCAUGAAGAUCAGAUGUUACUCUGCCCCAGGAGCUUCAGAUGCAGCUUGUGUGGGGUGUGUGGGCAAAACCCUGAAUGUGUGUGGAUCCCCUGCCCAGGGGGCUGGAAAUCAGCCCAAGGCCACCGAGUUUCCCUAAAGUUUGCCAUGGGGCCAGCUGGAGAUGGGAGCACACUCUGUGCCCAUGGGAUCUGGGGAAGUGGAGCCCAGCAGCACUGAGACAGCUCCGUGUGGAAAUGACUUUAUUUAUGAAGUGUAAGGUGGUGAGACAGCAGCGAGUGUCAAAGAGCAGAUGUGCCAUCUGCAGCCCCACAGGCUGGCAAGGCUCAUCUGUGGGACAGAACCUCACAUUUAAAUCCUCCUGUUGCUACAACACAUCACACACACUGAUGGAGGUAUGGAAUAACUGCUGGUGGCUACCAGCAGCAUGAAUCUCCAAGAACAGCUGCUGCCACACAUGUACUGGUAGACAGAGCACCAACAGAAGCCAGGCUUUCAGAAAUCCAAAGAAGCAGUUGAAGUGAAGAAUUACAAAGAUUCACCGUUGCAGAAAUACAAAGAAAUUUCUCAAAGGAACUUCAAGGGAAAAGGAAGUGUGGAAUGUACAUGGACAGUCAAGCAAGAUGCCUCAACAAUAAGAAACCUUUAAAUUUUUUUUUUCACUUUUGUGAAGUACCUUUGUGCUCUACUUGUCUGUGCAGACACAUGCUGGGAAGAUGAGGAUCAGACACACUUUGCAGUACAAAUGUUAAAAUAGGAAACAGUGAUCCUUAUCCUAUUCAGUUCUUUAACGUUCCCAAUUUGUAGGCUGGCUUGAAUUGUCAGGAAAUACCAUUCUUGUCUCUAUCAUCUCUGAGAAGACUGAGACUGAAAUAAAAUCCAGAUGCAUGUUAAGUGACCUGUAGGGCCUCAGCCUUCUGUAUAAAUUUAAUGUUUUAGGUCUUAAACAUUCCCCAGCUUCCACCCCCAAAGAUACAAGAAAGACCUGGGCCACUCUGCAAUUUUUGUGUUAGAAUUACAGUGCUCUUUCCAGUUACAUGGAGAACUGGAUGUCAGAGAAGUUAAAAAGAAAAAAAAAAAAGGCAGGAAAAAUGCUAAGAUAGGUUAAUUCAUUUCAACAUCUUCAUCAACACAGGUGCCAGUUGCUCUUUCAGCUGUGGAUCAAUUUGAAUAUUGCUCAGUUCUUUGAUAUUGAGGAUCAUCUCAUGGGCUUGGAAAAAAAGCUCUUUCCCCACAGCAUCCUCCACCCGCCUGCGCCACUCCCUCAGCCUGGGUCUGUCUUCAAAGAUGUCACAACCAACUCCAACAGGCUGCAGAAAGGAGAGAGCAACAGUGAGGCUGGGGGCAGUCACUUCUCUGCUGAGACAACAGGCACAAAAGGAUACUUGCAGUUAUUCUGAGGACCUUUUCUGCAUCUGGGCUAUUACACCAUUAGCAGCAAUUAGUUGGAUUUCUUUCCCUUGGAGCACUGCAGUGACAGCCUGCAGAGGCUGGAAGAAACUGCUUCUGGUAUGAAUCUGCCUCAUAUUUGAAUUGCUUCUCUGUACUCUAUAGCCCAAAAAUCAAAUACCAAUAAAUUCAAGAAGAUAAA